GGUUAUAAAAGAGGAGGAAGAGGAGGAGAGAAGGGGUUUGUUUUUUUUUUUGGUUGUGAGAAAAGAAGUAAGAAGAGAGAAAGAAAAGGAUUGGUUGGGAGAAAAUUUGGGAGAAGAAGGAGAGAAGAGAAAAGGAGGAGGAGGGUCUUCUUUUUUUUGAAAAAUUUCAUCCUUUUCUUAGAAAAUUUUGUGCAAGAAAUAUUGAUAGCAUAGAACACACACAUAUAGGAUAUACGUAGAUGUCCGAGUUUAACGUCAAGCUUGGGUGUUCGCUGCCCCCCCCUGCUCGUUUCGUCUCCAGCUCGCUGCCCCGAAGAAGGUGAAGUCCUUUUUUUUCUUUCUUCUUUUUAGAUGUUGUCAUUCAACCUUGCUAAUUUUUUUUUGUUUUGUUUUCUUUUGUGACAUCGAUUCGAGUCCACUUUGGAUUACAUUCUUGCAUUCCUGGCUGAGCCAUGAAGGCUCAAAACAUCCUCCUCGAGUCGUAGAUUCCUCAAAACUGGUGUACAGGUUGCGAAACCAGCAGCUUCGGUGCUGAAAAAUCAAAUUUGCAAAAAGCUGUAUACCAGCUAUAUACACAGUGUAUACACUGAUAUACAGGUAAAAAAAUGCACAGUAAAUCCAAGUUUGAAAUAUGGGUUUGUACCAGUGAAGAUGAUCUGUUGAAAAAGGACUUUCAACUUUCGAAAGUUGAAAAACAGGUACAAAUACGUAGAGCAAUGAGGAAAUACAGGGAAAAAUAACGGAAAAUAUGUAUUCGAACAGGUGCAGGGCUCAAGAGGUCCUAAAUGAGUCAAAUAUAUACUGUAUACAGUAUGUAUACAUUUUUGUAUACCCUUCAUGAUCCUUUUUUUUAGGAAUGGGCCAGGGCCCUUCAACAAUUUUUUAACAGGCCCAAGGGGCCAAAAUAUUUUUGCAAGAUUUUUAAUUUGUUGAAAGGGCCCAAGUCCAUAUUUGGAAUUAGUCUAGGACAGGUGGGCUAAAGCCCAAUGGAAUGAAUUUGGGCAAUAAGGCCUAAUUUCAAUUUUUUUUCUCUUCUUUAUUUAUUAUUUGCUUGAAUUGAUUAA